rnacentral:rRNA from 1 species
AUUGAACGCUGGCGGCAGGCUUAACACAUGCAAGUCGAGCGGAGAUGAGGUGCUUGCACCUUAUCUUAGCGGCGGACGGGUGAGUAAUGCUUAGGAAUCUGCCUAUUAGUGGGGGACAACAUUCCGAAAGGAAUGCUAAUACCGCAUACGUCCUACGGGAGAAAGCAGGGGAUCUUCGGACCUUGCGCUAAUAGAUGAGCCUAAGUCGGAUUAGCUAGUUGGUGGGGUAAAGGCCUACCAAGGCGACGAUCUGUAGCGGGUCUGAGAGGAUGGGCCGCCACACUGGGACGGGGACACGGCCCAGACUCCUACGGGAGGCAGCAGUGGGGAAGAUUGGACAAUGGGGGGAACCCUGAUCCAGCCAUGCCGCGUGUGUGAAGAAGGCCUUAUGGUUGUAAAGCACUUUAAGCGAGGAGGAGGCUACUGAGACUAAUACUCUUGGAUAGUGGACGUUACUCGCAGAAUAAGCACCGGCUAACUCUGUGCCAGCCGCCGCUGUAA